rnacentral:misc_RNA from 1 species
UAGAGUUUACAACUCCUAAACCCACUGUGAACUUAUCUGUGUUGCUGUUCCUUUGGCAGGCGGCUUCUGGGAGGAGCCUCGAGCCUAACGGCGCCUGCCAUUGGGGCUGAAAACUCUUGAGUUAAUAGUUGUCUGAGCUUUUAUAAAUAAGAAUCA